rnacentral:rRNA from 1 species
GCGGUGAGCAUGUGGUUAAUUCGAAGCAACGCGAAGAACCUUACCAGGCCUGACAUGCAGAGAACUUUCCAGAGAUGGAUUGGUGCCUUCGGGAACUCUGACACAGGUGCUGCAUGGCUGUCGUCAGCUCGUGUCGUGAGAUGUUGGGUUAAGUCCCGUAACGAGCGCAACCCUUGUCCUUAGUUACCAGCACGUUAUGGUGGGCACUCUAAGGAGACUGCCGGUGACAAACCGGAGGAAGGUGGAGAUGACGUCAAGUCAUCAUGGCCCUUACGGCCUGGGCUACACACGUGCUACAAUGGUCGGUACAAAGGGUUGCCAAGCCGCGAGGUGGAGCUAAUCCCAUAAAACCGAUCGUAGUCCGGAUCGCAGUCUGCAACUCGACUGCGUGAAGUCGGAAUCGCUAGUAAUCGUGAAUCAGAAUGUCACGGUGAAUACGUUCCCGGGCCUU